rnacentral:tRNA from 5 species
CGCGGGGUGGAGCAGUCUGGUAGCUCGUCGGGCUCAUAACCCGAAGGUCAUCGGUUCAAAUCCGGUCCCCGCUACCA